rnacentral:pre_miRNA from 1 species
AAGUUAUUACGAUUACUUGUCUUAGAUUUGUCUAUAUAUGGAUGUAUCUAGACAUGUUUUAGUGUUAGAUACAUCCGUAUCUAGAUAAAUCUAAGACAAGUAAUUUGGGAUGGAGGGAGUACCUA